rnacentral:rRNA from 1 species
AGCGAACGCUGGCGGCAUGCCUAACACAUGCAAGUCGAACGAGACCUUCGGGUCUAGUGGCGCACGGGUGCGUAACGCGUGGGAACCUGCCCUUAGGUUCGGAAUAACUCCCCGAAAGGGGUGCUAAUACCGGAUAAUGUCUUCGGACCAAAGAUUUAUCGCCUUUGGAUGGGCCCGCGUUGGAUUAGCUAGUUGGUAGGGUAAAAGCCUACCAAGGCGACGAUCCAUAGCUGGUCUGAGAGGAUGAUCAGCCACACUGGGACUGAGACACGGCCCAGACUCGUACGAGAGGCAGCAGAGGGGAAUAUUGGACAAGGGGCGAAAGCCAGAUCCAGCAAUGCCGCGUGAGUGAUGAAGGCCUUAGGGUUGUAAAGCUCUUUUGCCCGGGAUGAUAAUGACAGUACCGGGAGAAUAAGCUCCGGCAAACUCCGU